rnacentral:rRNA from 1 species
GACGUAGGGCGCGAGCGUUGUCCGGAUUUAUUGGGCGUAAAGAGCUCGUAGGCGGCUUGUCGCGUCGACUGUGAAAACCCGCGGCUCAACUGCGGGCCUGCAGCCGAUACGGGCAGGCUAGAGUUCGGUAGGGGAGAGUGGAAUUCCUGGUGUAGCGGUGAAAUGCGCAGAUAUCUGGAGGAACACCGGUGGCGAAGGCGGCAUCCUGGACCGACACUGACGCUGAGGAGCGAAAGCCAGGGGAGCAAACGGG